UCUUGAUAGCGUAAAAGUUAACUUAAAUAUGUAUGGAGUUGGAUUUGCUUGCCUACGUUUGCCGCUAGGGGCGCUAUUCCAACUCUAUACAAAUUUGAGUUAACUUUCACGCUAUCGA
rnacentral:pre_miRNA from 9 species